CAAACGCUGUCCUUGAGACAGUGAAACUCUCCCUUCAUAUGCUCAUAAAAUUGAACUGACUUUAGAAAAAGCAAAGUAGCAUUUGAUAAUGGCCAUAGGAUUCUUUAUUUAACACACCAAACUAAGCUAUUCACACACAAACUCUGUCUACUAUUGACUUUCAUUCUAGUAAGGAGGCAUGACAAGAAUGCUUCUCUAUCCUCUCUUAUUUAGCUUUCAAUCCAUGGAAAAGGCACCUUGCACUUAACUGAAGUAGUUUCUUCAAAACCUGUUUUCAACUUGUGUUGACAACAACCUUGCAAUUGUCGCUUUUGGAAGAUUCACCUCUCAGGCUCCUGAAGAGAAGGGCAACAAAGCUGUGGAGGAUCUGGAGCACAAGUCUUAUAGAGAGUAGCCGAGGGAGCUGGGGUUUUUCAGUUUGGACAAGAUAAGGCACAGAAUAUCCAUUGGAGGAAGUGUAUAGAAGAAAAAGAAAUAUGGUGACAGAGAAAUAUUCUGUUUUGGGUCAAAGGCAACCCUUUUGUCUAUGUUCUGCAUGACAUGAUUUCUGCAUCUGCACUUUAGUAGCCAUAAUUUGCUUAGUGAUGAAUGUAGAAACAACUGUAGGAGAACAGAUGGUGUCCGUACUCGUCUGGAUUUUCUUCCAGCCAAGAUUUUGUUUAUCUCUCAGAGCAGACUCUGUUGCUCAUCUCCUUUCCACUUUAAAUCAUUGAAUAAUAUUCAACAAUUCUAAAACUUACAUUAAAUAUAAUUCAGGCCAGCAUGGAAAAUUAGACAAUAUAAAAUUUCCAAAAGAAAAAAAAAACCAAAAAACCAACCAAACAACAACAAAACCCCAAAGUUAUUUCUGUAACAUCAUAAGUUUUCUCAUGUAUUUAUCUUGGUCAUUAUAAUAUUUUGUUCAUGUGCUGGCUUCUAAAGUACUUCAAAGCUAAGUGACUAAAAUUACUACUUAUAACUGUUGGCAGACAGAAUGCAAUUCCUGGCAUCCUUCCUAUCUUUACCUGUUUCUAUCUGCUGUUUUAUAACUUCAUGUCUAACUUGAUAGUGUAUUUAGGUUAAAUGGAAAUGCUGAAAGCAUUCUAGCUCAAAAGAAGAGCUCCAAACUCAGAUUAUUUAAAAAUCUCCCCAGUCUCCUAAAUUCAGGAACAUAUGGUGAUUCAUCCAUGAUUAUUUUUGUUAAAAUGAGUUUAAUUUAAUGAGUCAAUGAAAUUAAAGAUUUCUUUUUCUGGCAGCUGGCCCUCUUAAAAUUCAAGGUCAAUGCACAGCAUUGAUGCAAUAGCACAGCCAGUCCAUCUAUGUUCUACAGGUGACAAUCAUGUUGAAAAUAAACACACAUAAUUAUGUAUUUGUAAUGCACAACAGAAGUAAUAGUCAAAAACAAGCUCAAAAAAGACAAGAGCAUAAGCAUUUUUAAUGUUACUUUUCAUAAAUAGUUGAGCUAUCAAAACUUUUUACUUUGAGGAAAACCUGUUUAACUUAUUACUAUGUGCACCUAUUCAAAUGCUGUGCUGUACCUUUUUGGUUUGUGAAACACUUGACAUAAUGAAGAUUAAAACAACUGUUAAUCAGCACUCACCUGGAAUGCUUUCAGGACAUGAACAGUAAAAUUAAGAACUCAAAUCCCAAGCCUUUGAAACUUGAAAAAUCCUAGGGUUAUGUUGUGAAAGAAAAACUCUUAAUAGCUCUAAUGCAAACAGAAAUGGGAAAAGAGACUAAUGAGAUAAAUGUUGUUACAAGUCACCUUGUGUUCUGUUCGUCCCCGAGUUUCCGCGGCUGGGCCAAAUGCCAAGACAGCAACAAGAGAGUGUGUGGCAAAAUGGCGUUUUAUUAAAGCAAGCACACCCUUAUAUAACCUUUGGCACAGAACUUACUAGAAAGUGGGCAAGGCUAAUCCCGCCCAUACACUUACGUCAUGAAUAUUAACUAAGGAGGUGGGACCUCUCGCGUCACAACCCGCAGCCCCGCCUUUCACCUAAUACACUACAAAAUGUGAAAAUCAGGUUGUCCAAGCUUUACCUUGUUUAGAAUCUAAAGGUCAUGAAAAUUGCAUUAUUUCUUGAGCUGAUGAGCUGCCAAGUGCCUGACCACAAACCCCAACCAAACUCAACCGAAACCUUACAUUAAAUAAAAAAUAAAAAUACAUACAAAUUCAGUGUUCCUUAAGGAUGUAGUAGAGUUGCCUUGAGGUAGCUCCACCACACUUAGAAGGAAAGAAUGUACUAAAAAUGUCCUUGUAAUGCAGGCCAGCUCUGUUAUGUGCCACAUCCUUCUAAUCAGAUCAGGAAGACUAGCUUCUUGAGCAGCAUAAAGUGUGGGCCAGCAUACCACAUGAAAUAAAAGCCAAUGGCAAAAUUCUAUUAUUGCGUAGACUUGACUCACAAGCAUGUGUAAGCUAGUUGCAUAAUAGGAGAGAAUGUAUUUAUCUCCAUUUUGCAAAAUGACCCUUCAUUAAGUCUGAAAGUUUUGAUAGACAAAAUGAAACAUGUAUAGGAGUUAUUGUAAAAAAAAAAGUCUUGAACAGAAAUGAGGGUGGGGUACCCUCAUGGCUGAUUUCAAUUACUCACAGAGUCAUCUGACAAAGAAUAUAGGUCAUCCCUUUUCUCUCCUCUAUUUGAGUAUAUUUUCUGACCUUUCUUAUAAGCAGUGCUACAUAAAUCCUCACAAGCACAGAUGCCUGAAAAGAACUCAUGUGGAAAUAAAAACAGAGAGUAAUCUGAAAAUAAUAAUAAUAAGAAGAAGAAGAAGAAGAAGAAGAAG